AACGAACGCUGGCGGCAUGCCUAACACAUGCAAGUCGAACGAGACCUUCGGGUCUAGUGGCGCACGGGUGCGUAACGCGUGGGAACCUGCCCUUAGGUUCGGAAUAACUCCCCGACAGGGGUGCUAAUACCGGAUAAUGUCUUCGGACCAAAGAUUUAUCGCCUUUGGAUGGGCCCGCGCUGGAUUAGCUAGUUGGUAGGGUAAACGCCUACCAAGGCGACGAUCCAUAGCUGGUCUGAGAGGAUGAUCAGCCACACUGGGACUGAGACAAGGCCCAGAAUCCUACAGAAGGCAGCAGGGGGGAAUAUUGGACAAGGGGCGAAAGCCUGAUCCAGCAAUGCCGAGUGAGUUAGGAAGGGCUUAGGGUUGUAAAGCUCUUUUACACGGGAAGAUAAUGACAGUACCGGGAGAAUAAGCCCCGGAUAACUCCGUG
rnacentral:rRNA from 1 species